rnacentral:rRNA from 9 species
UGUCGUCAGCUCGUGUCGUGAGAUGUUGGGUUAAGUCCCGCAACGAGCGCAACCCUCGCCGUUAGUUGCCAGCAGGUUUGGCUGGGCACUCUAACGGGACCGCCGGUGUCAAGCCGGAGGAAGGUGGGGAUGACGUCAAGUCCUCAUGGCCCUUACGGGCUGGGCUACACACGUGCUACAAUGGCGGUGACAAUGGGCAGCGAAGGGGCGACCUGGAGCAAAUCCCCAAAAACCGUCUCAGUUCGGAUUGUACUCUGCAACUCGAGUGCAUGAAGUUGGAAUCGCUAGUAAUCGCGGAUCAGCAUGCCGCGGUGAAUACGUUCCCGGGCCUUGUACACACCGCCCGUCACACCAUGGGAGUGGGAUGCAAAAGAAGUGGAUAGUCUAACCUUCGGGAGGACGUUCACCACUUUGUGUUUCAUGACUGGGGUGAAGUCGUAACAAGGUAACCCUAGGGGAACCUGGGGUUGGAUCACCUC